rnacentral:rRNA from 1 species
AUUCUUGGACCGUGGCCAGACAAACUACAGCGAAAGCAUUUGCCAAGAAUGUUUUUAUUAAUCAAGAACGAAAGUCAGAGGUUCGAAGGCGAUCAGAUACCGCCCUAGUUCUGACCGUAAACGAUGCCAACUAGCGAUCCGCCGAUGGAAAUUAUAUUGCCUUGGUGGGGAGCUUCCCGGAAACGAAAGUCUUCCGGUUCCGGGGGAAGUAUGGUUGCAAAGCUGAAACUUAAAGGAAUUGACGGAAGGGCACCACCAGGAGUGGAGCCUGCGGCUUAAUUUGACUCAACACGGGGAAACUCACCCGGCCCGGACACUGUGAGGAUUGACAGAUUGAUAGCUUUUUCAUGAUUCAGUGGAUGGUGGUGCAUGGCCGUUCUUAGUUCGUGGAGUGAUUUGUCUGGUUUAUUCCGAUAACGAGCGAGACUCUAACCUACUAAAUAGUUGGUGCAUACUCUUUGUGUAUACAGCUUCUUAGAGGGAUUUGCGGCGUUCAGCCGAAAGAAAUUGAGCAAUAACAGGUCUGUGAUGCCCUUAGAUGUCCGGGGCUGCACGCGCGCUACACUGGCAAAAUCAACGUGCUUGUCCUACCCUGAAAGGGGCGGGUAAACCAUUGAAAAUUUGCCGUGAUUGGGAUCGGAAAUUGCAAUUAUUUUCCGUGAACGAGGAAUUCCAAGUAAGUGCGAGUCAUCAGCUCGCGUUGAUUACGUCCCUGCCCUUUGUACACACCGCCCGUCGCUGUCCGGGACUGAGCCAUUUCGAGAAAUUUGGGGACCGUU